GACGAACGCUGGCGGCGUGCUUAACACAUGCAAGUCGAACGGAAAGGCCCUGCUUUUGUGGGGUGCUCGAGUGGCGAACGGGUGAGUAACACGUGAGUAACCUGCCCUUGACUUUGGGAUAACUUCAGGAAACUGGGGCUAAUACCGGAUAGGAGCUCCUGCUGCAUGGUGGGGGUUGGAAAGUUUCGGCGGUUGGGGAUGGACUCGCGGCUUAUCAGCUUGUUGGUGGGGUAGUGGCUUACCAAGGCUUUGACGGGUAGCCGGCCUGGGAGGGUGGACGGCGACAUUGGGACUGAGAUACGGCCCAGACUCCUACGGGAGGCAGCAGUGGGGAAUAUUGCACAAUGGGCGGGAGCCUGAUGAAGCAACGCCGCGUGCGGGAUGACGGCCUUCGGGUUGUAAAGCGCUUUCGCCUGUGACGAAGCGGGAGUGACGGUAAUGGGUAAAGAAGCACCGGCUAACUACGUG
rnacentral:rRNA from 1 species